rnacentral:lncRNA from 1 species
GUAUCUGAUAAAACAAUUCAAUGCAAAAAGGAAAAAAGGUGGGAUAUACAGAUAAGAAAGAACAAUGAAACCAAAAAUGUAAAUAGGAUGAGUAUUAGUAUACCUCAAACACAGCCUGAAAACUGACAAGGCUGCUAGCAGGCAAAGGAGGAUGGACAAACACUUGGGUUAAAAAAGGAAAUGGGAAAACACUUUUAGACCGAUGAUCAUAUCAUUAU